rnacentral:rRNA from 1 species
AUUGAACGCUGGCGGCAUGCCUUACACAUGCAAGUCGAACGGCAGCACGGGAGCAAUCCUGGUGGCGAGUGGCGAACGGGUGAGUAAUAUAUCGGAACGUGCCCGGUCGUGGGGGAUAACGUAGCGAAAGCUACGCUAAUACCGCAUACGAUCUACGGAUGAAAGCGGGGGAUCGCAAGACCUCGCGCGAUUGGAGCGGCCGAUAUCAGAUUAGGUAGUUGGUGAGGUAAAGGCGUCACCAAGCCGACGAUCUGUAGCUGGUCUGAGAGGACGACCAGCCACACUGGGACUGAGACACGGCCCAGACUCCUACGGGAGGCAGCAGUGGGGAAUUUUGGACAAUGGGCGCAAGCCUGAUCCAGCAAUGCCGCGUGCAGGAUGAAGGCCUCGGUUGG